rnacentral:tRNA from 1 species
GGGGCUUUAGCUCAAGUGGUAGAGCGCAACGCUGGCAGUGUUGAUGUUAUCGGUUCAAAUCCGAUAAGCUCCA